rnacentral:rRNA from 1 species
UACGUAGGAGGCGAGCGUUAUCCGGAUUCACUGGGCGUAAAGCGUGUGCAGGCGGUUUGGUUAGUUGGAUGUGAAAGCUCCUGGCUCAACUGGGAGAGGUCGUUCAAUACUGCCAGACUAGAGGACGGUAGAGGAGAGUGGAAUUCCCGGUGUAGUGGUGAAAUGCGUAGAUAUCGGGAGGAACACCAGUGGCGAAAGCGGCUUCCUGGUCCAGCACCGACGUUCAGGCACGAAAGCGUGGGGAGCAAACAGG